GCCAGACUCCUACGGGAGGCAGCAGUGGGGAAUAUUGCACAAUGGGGGAAACCCUGAUGCAGCGACGCCGCGUGAGUGAGGAAGUAUUUCGGUAUGUAAAGCUCUAUCAGCAGGGAAGAAAAUGACGGUACCUGACUAAGAAGCUCCGGCUAACUACGUGCCAGCAGCCGCGGUAAUACGUAGGGGGCAAGCGUUAUCCGGAUUUACUGGGUGUAAAGGGAGCGUAGACGGAAUUGCAAGUCUGAUGUGAAAAUCCGGGGCCCAACCCCGGAACUGCAUUGGAAACUGUAUUUCUAGAGUGUCGGAGAGGCAAGUGGAAUUCCUGGUGUAGCGGUGAAAUGCGUAGAUAUCAGGAGGAACACCAGUGGCGAAGGCGGCUUACUGGACGAUGACUGACGUUGAGGCUCGAAAGCGUGGGGAGCAAACAGGAUUAGAUACCCUCGUAC
rnacentral:rRNA from 1 species